ACGAUAAGCCUUUCUUGAACGAGAAUGUGUACUUCGCCUCUAUAUAAGACAGAACUUUAUCUUGGGAGAGAUCAACCGCUUCUCUGUACUUUGUCACCGUUCUAAUCCAAGCCAAGUGAUUUCAACUAGAAUCUGCUAACCAUGAACCGUGCAAUGUUCCUGUGUGUAAUCGGCUGUGCCAUAUUACUGGCUGCGCAUCCCACAUAUACUGACGAUGUGCCCAGAAAUUUCGUCCCCUGUAUGGUGGACUGUUACGAUAAACAUUUCGUGUGUAUCAAAUGCUCCAAGAACCCCCGCAGUGAAUGCCGGGAAACGUGUAAUGAGCAGCGGGAUGCGUGCACGCAGAACUGUCGUCAGCACAUGGAUGAUUUCCAAGACCCGCAUCAGUAAAACUCAUCAACACAGGUCAUUCGAAUUGGUGGAAAUGGCAGACAACUUUAAAUAUACAUGACAACCAGAUGUUCUGAGCGAAGUGUUUUCUUGUAGAAAUACUAGCAGUUUGUGAAAGAUGUACGCAAAAAAAAAAGCACAACGUCACCCACCAUUGACUUUACUGACGGGACUUCCAAAAUAAGUUUGGCAGCCUUCUGUACUUCACAUGAAGCAAUGAACUAGACGACGUACCAGUCUGCUAAGGAAGGGCCUUUUUCAUGCUACCAACACAUUUUUUCUUGGAACUGAUAAGCAGCGAAUGGCCACAUUGAGAAAGAUAAAAGACUUCUAUGAUCUCAAAGGACUUAUGUCUGCGGCAGACAUGCAUUCAAAUGUAGGCAUAUAUAGGCCUAUAUGCAUUCAACUGCUAGUUUGUCUCCUCUGUCUCUCCAAUUCUAAAAGCCGUGGUGUUUCUCUGCGAAAAUAAAGACCUAGAUUAUUUUAACUGUUAUAAA